CAACCCAUACACACACUGGGCAGAGAAAGAAUAAUUUCAAAAUCAAUCCUUUGGGGAGAAAACGAGCGCAGAGAAAAAAGGAGAGUCUCAAAACCUGCGCCAGUGUUGGCCGAUUGUAAAGGACUGUCAGUUACUGCAGCUUUCUAUUGGGCAAAAGGGAAGCAGCAGGAUUCAACUCGGGGCCCAAUAAAGGGCUAUUCUUCCUGGAAAUCAGCCCUCGCACAUGGACUUGAAUGCACUCGGGCGCUAAUCUCCCGAGCUGUGGGAGCCCACUCUAAAUGCACAGGCCGUGCCACCCCAGCAGGCCCAGCCGUGCAUGCUGAUGUUAUUACACACCACCUCGCUAAUGCUGAAGCUAUCACCGGGUUAAUGCUAAGGCACUGAAAUCUCUGGUUUUUGGAUUCUUCCCACAGCAAUUCUUUGAAACAGUAUGCAACAUACACGCACAGUGCCUCUGGUAAGACCUGUAGCAGUACAAUUCUGCAAAAUCAAAUUGUCUCUUACAAGAACGUUGAUGCUUUCGAGUAACUCCAUCUGAUGAGGGAUCUGAUGGUGUCUUCAAUUAUCUCCAGGGAAAUACUGCCCUCCAGUGGACACCUCCUACCAUGACCCUUCUGUUAUGCAACAGGCCCCUUCUUUCACCAAACAGUUAACGAAGGAGGAAUUCAUAGAUGGUAAAUGGUUUCUAUCUGUCUUAUCUUAAUCUCUCGCAGACUUGGUGCGAUUUCAGACUAAAUGGAAAGAAGAUUAAGUCCGGGCUGUAAUGCACUUCAGACACCACACUAAAACAGAAAGGGCGACAGCUCUAAAUAAUCUCCGAAAAGGUUGUAAACGUGCGUCUGGCAGUAUGUGGUGACUUCAAGGGUUCAAUGACAACAACACUUGAAGCCAAAAGCCACUUUAGUGAGCAGAGUAAAAGCACAAGAACAAAGUUGUUUAGGCUAAUUGUUAGAUAUUUUUUUUCUCUUUUAGAUUUGCUUCUUUUUCUGCCAUGUGUCUCAAGCAUGGCUCUGUGUAUCACUCAGUCCACCACUUCUACAUAGUUAUUGGAUGGAUUUCCAUGAACUGUUGUUAUUUCUAAACCGUCACAUACUGGCCCUUGGUCAGGGCGCCAUGGGGUCGAUUUUUAGUAGUGUGUCAAACUAUGACACUGUGAUCACCUGAAAGGACAUGAGAGAGUACCUUGUGUAUCUGAAUUUGAUGCCAGAGGAUAACUUCUAAAGACAAUGAUCUGCUGUCAAUCUAAUAUCACCUUUAUUCAGCUAUUUUGUUUGUCGAAAUACCUUCAAAACAGAUGGCCCUCCCAUGAGCUUCAGUUGUGGUGUAAGUAUAUUAAUAUACUGUGCUAAUUAAUUAUACCAACUAAACCUCAGCAAGGUUUGCGUUAACAUCGCAUUUAGCUCAAGUACAGAAUCACUGAACCGUUGGCUGUCAAAUUCUUAUGAAAUGAUACGUUAGAAAAGAAACCUGAUGAUGUAAUACUACUAAGAAUCUCAGAUUCAUACUUUGCUGAAUCUGUGUUCUGCUUGUAUUAAAGAGGAGACAGAACACACUGACACGAAAAAGGUCCACAGUCAGUGAUGCCACUAGAAUCUUGGUACAUUGUCUAAAACCCCUCGGACAUCCGGAUGCCCCAAUAUGUCCUUGUUUGAAAGGGUCAUGAGGGCAAAUUGGUUGGAACCCUCUGUUCUACGCUGCAUAACGACAAGAGCUUCUUCUGCCCAUCACAUUGGAAUGCAUGAAUAUGGAAAAACAAUCAAAGUUGACAGUGGAAGGUGAAGCACAACGAAUCAGAACAGGACAUGUCACACGGGGCCAGGACACACCAUGCUGGGUCAUGCUGCUCUGGGAGAUUUAUUUAGUGAAUUGUUCAAUAUAUAUCUUUUUUUUGUUUAGUUUUUAUUAUGUUUUUCACUUGCGCUCCUGUCAGGAGUGUUGUAAAUGGGACAGUCAAGCAGCAAGAGUCACAGUUCAUCAUCAUCAUCAUUGUCAUCAUCACUGUCACCACCAUUAUUAUCAUCCUCCUCAUGGUAAUAAUUUCAUCAUCAUUUGACUUUCCUCAAGCUAAAAAAUAAUUUACAUCACAUUGUUUUUACUGACUUUUGAGACCACAAACAUUCCAGCAACACACUCUAGGAUUAAGGGUGGGUAACAAUCAGAAAAGCAUGACUUUUUGCAUAGUAUUAAAUGAACAAAGACAUUGAGUUCUUUUAUUUACAAUUAUUGUAUAGAUAAAAAAAAUAUCAUAAAAACAAGAUGAACACUUAGAUCACUUACCCAUGAAUGGCUAAGUAUGCCAAAAGUUAUCUGUUGGCAUUUCUCUUUUUCUUUGUUCCACAAACUGCAUGCUGCUAAAUACAGUACAUCGAGGCAGGUGAGAGUAUAUUGCAAAAAGUAUCAUUGAUAUCACUAUCAUCAUCUUCUUCGGGGUUAUUAUCAACAUAAUUAUUGGUUGUUACAACACAAGUUGCCAUUUGGAUGUUCUCAUGUUGAACUGUUUCUGACAGGAGCAGUGAAACAGCUGCGUCGGCAGUACGACCCGUGCAUGAUGGUAGACGAGGUCAGAAACAGUUUUCACACCAGUCCGCAUUCAGUUUCUGUCCUCAGCGUCUGCUGUAUUUACAAAGAUUAUUUUUAAACUUGUGUUUGCAUCUUCUUAAAGCUGAAUGUCCUCCUGGAUGUAAAAGUGGUUGGAAAAUGUUGGCUUAAGUCUUUUUUUUUUUUUAUUGAAAAAUGCUGUUGUUCCUGUUAUGUUUUUUGUUUAUUGUUUUAAAUUUUUACAGACAAAUAAACAAAUAAAUUGUCAAGUUAAAACACUGGAAAGGGAAACAAAAUAAAUCAACAGCUUCUAAGCAGAAUAUCAGAAUCCAGACAGUUUUUUUUAUCUCAAACUUAAAUAAGACAUAUUAUUCAAAUGGUCCAUAUUACUUUUUCAACACGCCUGAGCUGACUGGUAAAGCUUGUGCACCCUUUCCAGAUUUACGGAUCGAUUGGGAAAUGACAGAGGAGGAGGAUAGAAAAAAAGAAAAAAGAGCUUGGAUAAAUGUUUAAUAUACUGAAGUAGUGUAUAGGAUUCUUUAAGUAGAAAAAUCGUUAAUUCUUUCAAGUUGCAUAAUGAGCCUCUUGCGUCAUGCUUGCCAAUGACUUCGGUUAGUAAUAGAAAUAACAAUAGUACUGACUAGUUAACUGGCCUUGUCCUUCUGAGUGCAAUAAGACUGGGUAAAUGUGCCCCCUGUAUGUGACUUAUCUCUGGCAAUGUCUGAUUGGUCAAAGCACAAUAAAUAGUUUACGACUAGUGAGUACAGUUGAGAUGCUAGAGUACUGUAUAUUCUGUGACGGCGGGAAGACAAGCUUGGUUAAAACACACAAAAGCACAUCUAGAAUUACACCACAGAAGUUUUCAUUCAUAACCAGAUAGUGCAGAAAAGCAUCGUCUUUUUAUAUAUAGAAAACGAGUCGAAGCAACAUUUCAUGUUUGUUGUAAUUUGUCAUUUUUUGUUUCAUUUUUCCUUUUUUUGAUGUUAAAAAUUCCAACUGUUGUGUAGGGUUGUGUGUGUGUCACUCUGCAAGAGAAAAACUGAAAUCAUUGGAACCAAUAUUAAAUAAGGAUUGAAUUGAAAAAUAACCAACACAAUAUAUUUCAAAAUUUGGACAAAAACAAAUUUUAAAAAAAGUUCUGAUUUCCAUGCUGCACAGAUAAGCCAAAUAUAACUCUAAAUUUCUAAUAAUACUUGAUUGCAGCCUUUUGGGUGUCACGCACUUUUUAAACAUCAAGUCCUUUGAACAAGCAGGUAUAUCUAGAAGAAAGUUCACUGUAAAGGUCCUGAUAUCAGCCUUGACUCGAGCCCUGACCUCAGGCCAGCGCUGAAGCACAAAAAAAAAAAAAAAAAAAAAA